GCACCUGUGAACGGGACAGCCUGACCCACCCAGGGGAUGACACGGGGGGCACCCAGGGAUCCCCCCUUCCUUGCAAUUCCAAACAUCACAGUGUGAGAGGAGGGGGCUCCCCACCCCCCACUCCCUGAUACCCCCUCACCCUCGCUGCGAGCAUCUCAGCAAGGAGAGAAGAUGUCGUUACCUGCGGGGGACAUCGGCCUGGGGAGAAUCUGGAGAGAGGCUGGAAGAGAAGAGAAGAGAAGAGAAGAGAGCUCAUGUUGAAGGAGAUUUUUGUCCACCCACUCUGUUCCUGUGAGACACUAGGGCAAAUUCUCUGAAGUCAAGUGCUCCUAUGGUCCAGUGAAGCACAAUCUAGAAAUUCCAUUUGAAACAUCCAUGUUUGUGAAGAGAAACCAAAGCUACCAGUAAAAUUCUAUUCAAGUAUCAGGGGAAAUGAAGGUGUAUUAACUGUAUGGAGAUCACAGUUAACAAAAAUUAUCUCUCUCUGUGUCCCCAUACACAUCUAUCUAUCUAAUCUAAUUUCUUGUACUAUCUAGGUAUUCCAACAAUAAAUAAAUCCAGACUGAUCAAGUGCAUAGUGUCUCACAAAAGUAGAAUUCACAGAAUAAACUAAAUUGGUUGAGAACGAUUUGUGGACAUAAUCUUCCUUGGACAUACCACUUUCAUAACCUUUAACAUUUUGAAAACAGCCUCCACCAGGCCCAAAGUGAUAGCUAUCCACAAAAGCACCACAUUUCGGAGGCACUUCACUAUUCUAACACCUGUGAGUGCAUGGAAACGUUAGAAUUUACACUCAUGAAACUCAAUAGGCUCAAGAUUCAAUGGAAACAUGGACACUGCUUAUGUGAAUCAGUGAGUGACCGCUUACAAUGAUCUUUAUGUGAAUAUUAGGUAAAUCAGAUUGCACAAAAUCUUAACCAGUUCCAUGUUAUUUUAUGAAGCGAUAUUAAUUGUACAUAGCACAUCCAUCUGUUUUAAGUACAUUUGGUAGACUGGAUGCUAAUCUACUGUAAAUUGGCAGUUGAAGGUCUGGCCCGAGAUAGCAGGCAAGCCUCAAAGGGUUUGAAUGUUGGGUUAAGAUAAAAUUCUGGACAAUGUAGGGUGAAAUCCUGGCCCCACUGAAAUUAAGUUCUGUAGUUGACGUCAGUGGGGCUAGGAUCUUCUUAGGAUUUUUAAUGUCUGUCUCACAAUAUUUGUUGUUUUUCUUCAAGUCUCAACUGCUUGAAUCAACAGAUCAGCUUUCAUAUUUUCUUUUAAAUAAUCAUUAUGUCUCUCUCUUCGGUAGUUCUUUUCAUCCAUAGAUCACAAAGCACUAUAUAAAGGAG